rnacentral:rRNA from 1 species
GACAGAGGGGGCUAGCGUUGUUCGGAAUCACUGGGCGUAAAGGGCGCGUAGGCGGCUUUGUAAGUCGGGGGUGAAAGCCUGUGGCUCAACCACAGAAUUGCCUUCGAUACUGCAUGGCUUGAGACCGGAAGAGGUAAGUGGAACUGCGAGUGUAGAGGUGAAAUUCGUAGAUAUUCGCAAGAACACCAGUGGCGAAGGCGGCUCACUGGCCCGAUACUGACGCUGAGGCACGAAAGCGUGGGGAGCAAACAGG